AGUGGCUCAUUCACCUUCUUAUGUCAGCCCCUUAGGGAUGCGCUACAUAAACUUCGAAUGACGCACAACAAGGUGCCUGCCGUCCAACUUCUGAUAAUAGCGUAGCUUUAUCAACCUCCGGGCGAAACGUCGAGUUAGGCACCGCCUU
rnacentral:sRNA from 30 species